CCUACGGGUGGCAGCAGUGAGGAAUAUUGGUCAAUGGACGCAAGUCUGAACCAGCCAUGCCGCGUGCAGGAAGACGGCUCUAUGAGUUGUAAACUGCUUUUGUACGGGGGUAAACGCAGGUACGCUUAUCUGUCUGCAAGUAUCGUACGAAUAAGGAUCGGCUAACUCCGUGCCAGCAGCCGCGGUAAUACGGAGGAUUCAAGCGUUAUCCGGAUUUAUUGGGUUUAAAGGGUGCGUAGGCGGUCGGAUAAGUUAGCGGUGAAAUCCCGAGGAUCAACUUCGGAAUUGCCUCUGAUACUGGUGGGCUAGAGAGUAGUUGCGGUAGGCGGAAUGUAUGGUGUAGCGGUGAAAUGCUUAGAGAUCAUACAGAACACCGAUUGCGAAGGCAGCUUACCAAGCUACGUCUGACGUUGAGGCACGAAAGCGUGGGGAGCAAACAGGAUUAGAUACCCGAGUAGUC
rnacentral:rRNA from 1 species